CCAAAUAGAUGGGGGUGAGCAGGGGAGGAAAGGUCUUGAGGGAGCAGCACGCUUGCCUGAUGGGUGCCCAAAGCCAGGGGCAGGUGGAGGUGAGAGAAGGACAAGCUCUGCAAACGUUGCGGAAGCGCUCUGUCCAUGGAGAAGGCACAGGACUUCCAUGUGGGGAGCAGCUUACUCCUGCUGAGAACUUUGGGGAGACAGAGUGGAGCAGCCAUCUCAGACCUGAGCGGCUAAGGAGCUGGGUCCCCCUCUGUCGCACUGUGCAGAGCUGCUGGACUUUGCAGUAAGCAGCCUUCAGGUCUAAAGUCCCAUGUGGUCUUGAAGAGAACAUCAUCACAUCCCAUCAAGGACUGGAAAGGCCCUGUGUGUGGCUUAUGCCUGUAAUCCCAGCACUUUCAGAGGCCGAGGCGAGAGGAUUGCUUGAGCCCAGGAGUUCGAGACCAGCCUGAGCAACAUGGGGAGAUCCCAUCUUACAAAAAUAUAAAAAAGGAAAAAGAAGUGGAGGAGUUACAGUCUAUUUCUACUUCCUUAAAACUCACUAAGAAGGAAGUCUUGCUAUGUGACUUCUAAGGCUAAGAUGUAGAUACAGCUUCCCUUUGUCUCUCUCUGUCUCUCUCUCCCUCUCCCUCUCCCUCUCCCUCUCUCUCUCUUUCUCUUUCUCUCACUUUUUCUCCCCUUCUUCUUACCCUUGGAACCCAGGCUCCACAUUGUAAGGAAGCCCAGUCACAUGGACAGACCAUAUGGGUCCAGUUGGCUGCCCCAGCCAAGGUUUCAGCCAACAGCCAAGAUUACCCACAGCCACGUGUAUGAAUGAGCCUUCAAAUGAGUCCAGCACCCAGCAGAAUAAUGCCCCCUCCCGUCUCACAAAGAUUUCCAUGCCCUAAUUCCUGGAACCUGUGAAUCUGCUACAUCACAUGGCAAGCAGAGCUGGCAGAUGGAAUUUAGGGUGUGGAGCUUGAGGUGGGGAGGGCAGCCUGGAUUACACAGGUGGGCCCUAUCUAAGCACAUGAGCCCUUAUACAAGCAAAGAACAUUUCCUCAGCUGCCAGACAGCUGGCAAACAGAAUUGGAGGGGCAGAGAGAUGUAAUCAGAAAGGGCAGAAGAGACUUAAAAGGAAGAGAGGCUCGACCUGCUGUGGCUACCUUUGAAAAUGGAGGAAUGGGGCUCCAAGCCAAGGGAUGCAGGCUGCCUCUUCAUUGGAGUACUGCCAGCAAGAAAACAGCCCAGCAAUUGCAAGGAAAUUAAUUUUCCCAACAGUCUGAAUGAGCAAGAAAAUGGACUCUCCCCUGCCACGCCCUGAGUUCAGCCUUGUGAGACUCUAAGCAGAUACCCACUCAAGCCCACAGGACGUCCAACCCAUAACAAUUGUAAGAUAAUAAACUGGGAUAGUUUUAAGUCUCCAUGUUUGUGGUAAUUUGUCACAGCAGCAAUUGAAAAUAUAGCAGCCAUUGAGGUUUCCUUCUGAGGCCCUCGACAUCAGGGAACAGAGACAAGCUCUCUUCCCACUCCUGACCUGCAGAGGGGGUGAACAAAUGGCUGUUUUCUGCCGCCAAUUUAGGUAUUGCGCAGCUCUAGUAACUGAAUCGGGGGCUUCCAACCCCUUUCCCAGAAGGAACUGCUGUGUCCUCUGAAAUCACCAAGCCACAGUUUCUUCACCUGUAAAACAAGAGUAUGGACCAUAAAAGAGGCAACUUGUAUGUGCUGCUAUAAAAAGGCACCAGGCUGGACUUUUUAAGUGAAGGAUUGAUGACCAACGUACACCAUACAAUUCCAUUUUGUGAAAUGAAAACCCUUUGUUGCCACAAUGAGAUACCACUUCACACUCAUUAGGAUAGCUCUUAUCAAAAAAGUAGAAAAUAACAAGCAUUGGAGAAAUUAGAACCUUUGCACCUUGCUAGUGACAAUGAGAAAUGGUUUGGCUACUGUAGAAUAUGCUACAUAGGUUCUAAAGAUAUAAAACAUAGAAUUAUGUGGAUUUAUUCAUUCCACUUCUGGGCUUAUACCCAAAAGAAUUGAAAGCAGGAAUUCAAACGGAUAUCUAAUACCCCUAUGUUCACAGCAGCAUGGCAAGCAGAACUGGCAGAUGGAAUUUAGGCUGUGGACUUUGAGGUGGGGAGGGCAGCCUGGAUUAAACAGGUGGGCCCUAUCUAAGCACAUGAGCCCUUAUAAAAGCUCAUGUAGCUUUUUAUUACAGUAGCCAAAAGGUGGAAACAACUCAAAUGUCCAUUGAUGAAUGAAUGGGUUUUUUAAAAUGUGGUAUAUCCAGACAAUCGAAUAUUAU
rnacentral:lncRNA from 1 species